UACGGAGGGAGCUAGCGUUAUUCGGAAUUACUGGGCGUAAAGCGCACGUAGGCGGCUUUGUAAGUAAGAGGUGAAAGCCCGGAGCUCAACUCCGGAACUGCCUUUUAGACUGCAUCGCUUGAAUCCAGGAGAGGUGAGUGGAAUUCCGAGUGUAGAGGUGAAAUUCGUAGAUAUUCGCAAGAACACCAGUGGCGAAGGCGGCUCACUGGCCCGGUACUGACGCUGAGGUGCGAAAGCGUGGGGAGCAAACAGG
rnacentral:rRNA from 1 species